rnacentral:rRNA from 1 species
GACGAACGCUGGCGGCGUGCUUAACACAUGCAAGUCGAACGGAAAGGCCCUGCUUUUUCGGGGUGCUCGAGUGGCGAACGGGUGAGUAACACGUGAGUAACCUACCCUUGACUUUGGGAUAACUUCAGGAAACUGGGGCUAAUACCAGAUAGGAGCUCCUGCAGCAUGGUGGGCGUUGGAGAGUCUCGGCGGUUGGGGAUGGACUCGCGGCUAAUAAGCUAGUUGGUGGGGUAGUGGCAUACCAAGGCUUGGGCGGGUAGCCGGCCUGAGAGGGUGACCGGCCACAUGAGGACUGAGAGACGGCCCAGUCUGCUACAGGAGGCAGCAGUGGGAAAUAUUACACAAUGGGCGCAAGCCUGUGGCAGCAACGCCGCGUGCGGGAUGACGGCCUGCGGGUUAUAAACCGCUUCCGCCUAUGACGAAGCGGGAGUGACGGUAAUGGGUAAAGAAGCACCGGCUAACUACGUG